CUGGCUCCUGCGUGAGGAGGAAGAGGUGGCCCGGCAGGCCCGCUGCCGCCCGCCGCUCUGCAGGAGCUUGAGCCUGUCCAGGCGCUGCGGCCCAGGCCUUAUUUGGCUUCCAGGCGCUGUAUUAACAAGAUGCCCGGAACCUCCUUCUCGGGUCCUCCCACACCUUGAAGGGUCCAGGGAACCCAAGGUCGUCUUCAACCCACAGCUCUCCCCCAGAUCUUCCAGGGAGGUCCCUCAUCAUUCAAGCCUCUGUUGUCACCUCCUCCCACAAGCUGUUCUCACCUUCCCUCUCAGGUGUCCCCAUCACGCCCCUUCUCAACAAUGGCACUUGCCACCAUCAGACGUCAUCCUGUCCUGUCCGCUCUACCUUCAGAGUAUACCUCGAAUCUCAGCCACCUCCUCUCCUCCGCUGUCCUCAUGGUCAAAACUACAUCCUCCUCCAAACUCAGCACCGUUGACAUUUGGGGCCGGACCUUUCUCUGCUGUGGAGCCGGCCGUCCUGGGCUGUGUGGCAGCUUCCCUGGCCUCUUCCCCCUCGAUUCCAGGAGCGUCCCCUCCCCAGCUGUGACAACCGAAAGUGCCUCCAGACAUUGCCCGACGUCCCCCCAGUGGAAAACCGCUGCUCUAGACUAUGGCAAAACCGGUCUCCUGGAGCCUAGAAAUGGAUCUGGUCCACCCGCAUGACUGCAGGGGUAGCGGCGGAGAGAACCCGCCAGGGAAGCCGGAGGAGGCCCCCAUCCAGGGCCUCGCGGCCUGAGCAUCCCCCCACAUGCCCCCUGCCCCACAGGCUCCCGGGGUUCUUGGGAAGCUGCGUGGAAACCCCUCUGUAGGGCCGGAAGCAGCCUCGGGCCCAACCACACCCAGCCGGGGAAGGCAGGCCGGGGUCUAAUUAUAGAAGGCAGGCUGUGAGAGGUCCUCUCUGGGAAGAGGAAGUGGCGCUCUGAUUAACCCCCGGGUUGGUUCACCCCACAUUGAGACAGUCCCCACGGGGAGAGGAAGUGUGGUGAAAUGAAUUCAGCCUCGGGGCCGGGGCAGCACGGACAAGCCAGGCGGCUCUGGCUCCUGGCCGCAGGGAUGGCGGGGAACCGGCUCUGUGGCCCAGGGGCCAGGUCCGCUGAGGAAGCCUUCAACUCUCUGGACCCUGGCUUUAAAAGAAAGGGGGCUGGACCAGAUUCGAUCUUCAAAGUGGGUCUCUUGUUUCAGGGCACGGGUUCCCAAGGGGGUUCCCAAGUCAGGAGCUGUCUGAUCCUCAGUGUCCCCAUCUGAAGAAUGGGGUUGACGGGAACCGCGCCUUUCGCAGAGCCUUUGGAGGAUGCGCUGAGGUGGUCUGUGCUGCCGGCCAGCCUGGGCCAGGGCCUGGCACAGGACGGGGGCUCGGUUAGGUGUUCCACGUUGUCAGAAAAUCAACACGAUUAGUGGGCUCCAGUCAAAAUGAAAAUGCGGGCCCCUCGUGCAAAAGUUACUGAGAAUUUCAAGACGGAGACAGCAGAGCAUUAAGCCUGGCGUGGGGCCCUUCUGAGCCCGGUGUGCCUGCCAGGGCUGCAGGCGCAUGAGCUGGGGCAGAUGCAGGGGUCGGGGAGGGGGUGGGGAACGGCUCCUUAAAAGGAUGGAUCCCUCUCCACCACUGUCACGAGGGGACCUCAACGUGUAGUUGAUUGGAACGCACAAAAUCAGAGCUCUGCACGCUGUAGGAGACUGUUCACGUGCGAGCUGUUUAAACGGUGCACACAGAGCGACACGGAAAAUUGACCGUCACCAUAAACGUGUAGGUAGAAACCUGUGCCUGAGGCUGCAGCUCUCACUCCCACUGAGGUUGGCUGUGGGGGGGAGGGUGAUGGGAGUUACAGCAAAGCUGAGCUGUACCUGUAACGUUUUAUUUCUUUAAAAGAAAAAGGAUUAGUGACAAAUGUGACAAAAUCUUGGUGUCUCAUUGUAUCAUGUUUAAUUCUGGGUAGUGGUAGUAGGGGCUUAUUAUUCUCUGAAUAUUUUCAGUUUUAAAAGGUAGAUUUCACCACUUUAAAAAGCUUGAAAGCAUUGGGUGAGGAAAGAGCUGCCUUUGGCUGAGGUCCUGGGAGUAAGGGGUCUGGGAGACACACAAGUGUUAAAUUGAGCGCCUACUACCUGCCUGGUCCGGGGCCGGGUUCUAGGGAAAUAAAAAGGAGCAUUUUCCUUCCAGGAACCCAGAGGUCAACACGGGGGGCCGGCCCGUCCUGGGUGGGGACCCACAUGAAGUGAUCCCUAACCCCUGCAUGGGGCUGCCACUUGGCUAUUUUCGCAGGCAAGCAGGAUCUGGGGCGUUGUUUCCCUCCUGCAGAAGGAUGCCAGGAGCCUCGCGGGAGUCAGCUGGCAGGCACCAAGGGCUGUGUGUUGGGGUGGCAGGGGCGGGGGGAAGGUGGAGCAGAGGGACAUCAAUAGGCAGGGUCAUGGGUGCAGGGGAGCACCCGGGGCUGCCCCAAACACCUGCUGAAACCCUUAGAUGAACGACGGGAGAGUCAGGAAUUGCCUGCAGCCUCUGCUGGCAAGCCUCAGGGUCUGCAGCCUCGGGCGUGGAGGGACCUCAGCUGGAACUAGAGCCUGCUCCGGGGUAUCAGCAGCCUCUUUGUCAGUAAUGGGCAGAGGACUAGACACCAGGCGCCCCCCAGCCCAGGGCUUUAUCCCGAAGGGGCCUCGGCUGGUGGCCCCCUCGGGUUCAGGAGCACACGCAGCUCCUCUGUCCCAGGGCUGCUCUCUGGUCAUUUCUGUCUCCUUUGUUUGUUUUACCUUUUUAAUUUUGAAAUAAUUUUAGGCUUAGAGAAAAGGUGCAGAGAUAGUCCCCACGUCCCCUUCACCUUGCUUCCCCCAAUAUUAAUCUCUUACAUAAUAGUACAAUGAUCCAAACUAAGAAACUCACUCUGAUGCAGUACCAUUAACUAAACUGUGGACUUUAUUCGCAUUUUCCCCCAGUGUCCUUUCUCUGCUCCGGGUCCUACAUUGAAUUUAGUCAUCUCGUCUCCUUCGUCUCCCGCAGGCCCAGGGAUGGUCCUUGCUCCUUCCUUGUCCUUCCUGACCUUGCUGGAUUUGCAGAGUAUCGGUCAGGUGUUUUGUAGAUGGUACUUCAAUUUGGGUUUCUCUGAUGUCCUCUCAUGUUUUCAAAUGAGACAUAAUUCACGUUCCAUAAAACGCAACCUCGUAAAGCGUACAAUUAUGUGGCUUUUCAUAUACACAGAGUUGUGCGACCGUCACCACGAUCUAAUUCCAGAACCUUCCCAUCACCCCAGAAGGAAGCCCAGGGCCCCCAUAUCCCUCUUUGUCCAACGCGCAGUACUUUCUCUUGUCCCCCUCCCGCUUGCCCCGGCUCCAUUUCUCUCCAGGACGCUGCUCCUGUUUUCUUUCGGUUUCUCUUUGUGUCUCUGUCUCUGAGUUGCUCUGUCUCUCUCUCACAUUCGUUUCUAUUUCUGUGUUUCUCUACAUCAGUCUCUCCCUGUCUCUCUCUCCAUCUGACUCUCUUCCUCUAUUUUCUCCCUUCUCAUUCUGUUUUGCUCUAUGUAGCGUGUGCAUCUUUCUUCCUCUUUCAUUCUAAAGGAGACACCGGCAAAACCCAAGAGGAAUGAUAAGGCAUCCACAGAGCUCUGGAGACAGACGGGGUGAGGAUAGGAAAUAUCUAAGGGCUGCAGCUAGACAGGGACCUCUCUGAGGAGGUGACGAAGCAGCCAGCCCUGGAAGAGCUGCUGGGAGAGGGCCAGGCAGGAGGGAAGCAGGAGCAAAGGCCCUGGGGCAGGAGAGAACUCCAGGGCCGAGCUAGGGAGAGGCAGGGGACAGAGACAGGGGCCUCCCUGUGCCCAGGCUCGCUUAGAGGGAGCCCUGAAUUCCUCCCCAGGUCAGGCCCCCAGGCUCUGGGGCAGGAGCCCCAGCCAGCCCGGGGCGAGGCUUGUGGAGAAUAAGUCAUGGCUGAACCUCUGAGAACUUUCCAGGACCAGGCCACCUGCUCAGCCCUGGGGACCCUGAGCUGGGUACAACCCACCUCUGCCUUGAAAGAACCUGCAGCAGAAAAGCACAACCCAGGCUCUGAAAGAGUCUGUGUGUUGAUUUAUUCCAGAAACACUGAUUCAGUGCCUGCUGUAUACCAGGACCACAAACAGGCAUGCGCAGCGCCCUGACCUCACGGGCUCAGAGUCUAGAAAGAGCAGCAGCCCACCUACUCACCCCGACCGCGCCGGGGAGAAAGGCUGAAGCUCAGAUGGCCAUUUAUUCAUCCAGCAGCUCUCGGGGCCCACUGCAUAUGGUGGACAAACACAGAGGACCCUCAAGCGGACGGCCCCUGUUCACAGCACAGUUUCUAGAGCAGAAUGGCAUGGAUUCAAGCCCCAGCUCGGCCGGCUAUUAGCUGCGCAGCCUUGGGCAAGUUGCUCACCCUCUCUGAGCCUCAGUCUCCUCCUCCGUAGAGUGGGCUGCUGUGCGAGCUACAGGCCAGAAUGUCACACGCUGAGCCCCCCUACCCUCCCCGCCCCACCUCCGACAUUCAGAGACAGGACAGGAGCUGAGUUUGUCAGCCAGAGUUGUUCUUCCCAGCUGGUGGGAGGGCUGGCCGGUCAGGAGGAUCCCAGGCCUGCUGGGGACCGGGGACCGGGCAUGUGCAGCAGCUGGAUAGUGGCUUGUGUCCUUAAGUCACCGAGGGCAGCACCAGGCAGGCUGGCCAGGGCCCAACAGCCUGACCCAGCCUCAUUUGUGAUGCAAAUGGCUGGCAGUGGCUUCGGGCCAGAGCACACGGUCCCCAGCCAGGGCCCCAAGCUUUUAGUCUGAGCAGAGCCGGGCGGGUGGGGGUGGGGGGGUUGGGAGGGAGGCAGUGGGGAGCCCCCCCAGACAGCCUCGAGGGACCUCUCUGGGUGGGGUAGCGGUGAGCAGGGACCCCAAGGUCAGGAGAUGCAUUCCUGGAGGCUGACUGGGGUGGAAUGGGGUGGAAGGGCUGGGCCACCCCCUGCUUGGCCAGUAGGGUGAGUGGGAAAGCCUUCGGCUGGCAGGGCUCCGUCCUGCAGAAGCCGGAGGUCCUCUUCGGGCUUUCUCCCGGGAUCCUGCGGAAACCAGGGCCCCGCAUGUCACACCCUGUCACUUCCAAGCUGGCCCCCACUGGAUCUCCAGCCCCUCCAGGGUCCCUGGCAAAGCUGCGGCCACACAAACGUUUUCCCCUUCUUCCCUGGCUCUUGGCCACACUUGGCUUUUUCACAAGCUGUUCCCUCUGCCUGGAAUGUCUUUCCCUUAGUCAAUGCCAGUCGUUUUUCGAUCUCUGGCCCUUACUCUGUACAUGUAACCGUAUACUCUUUUUCUUAAAGACAGUGCCCCAAAUUGUAUAAACUUCAGGCCCCAUGAAACCUGGGUCUGUCCCCAGUGGUAGGAAAACAUCCCCUGACACCGUCCUUCCUGGUCCCCGAAGAGAUGAGUAGGUCACAUCCCCCGUUAGGUCAUUCAUUCAUUCAACAAAUAUUUACUGAGAAGCUACCAUGUAUCUGGCACUUUUCUAGGCACCUCGGAUAGCGCAGUGAACAAGGCAGACAAGAAUGCCUGCCGUUAUGGACUGACAGUCCACCAGGGGUACAGGUAAUAGACAGAUGAAUAAGCAAUAAUAAGUGAUACAUAAAGUAAAAGUAGGUUUGAGGCAUGCUAAGAGCUACAGAGAAAAAUGAACAGGCAAGGGAGAGGGAGCACGGUGAGUAGGGGGCUAUGAGUUUGAAUGCAACAAGGUAAGAGGUGAGCCGUGUGGAUACCUGGAAGAUGAGUGGUCCAGGUAAAGGGAAGAGCAUGUGCAAAGGCCCUGAGGCAGAGGAGCACCUGGGAGGGCUUGGCACUUCACUGUAGUGUUUAUCAGACUGAAAUUAAAUAAUUAUUCCAGUGAUGACUUACGAAUUUUUUGUCUUCCUCACUAGGACUUUGUAUCUGGUAGUUGUUCAAUAAGUACAAUAAGUUCAAUAAGUACAAUAAGGACACAGAAUGUAUUUAUUUCUUUGGGAGGAGGGGGUUGGUGCUGGUGGAGUUGUAAUGAAGCCCCCACCCCAGGGGACUAGGUCGGCUCACAGGGUGGAGCUCUGCAGGCACCCGCAAGGCAGGGACCCGGGCCUGGCACCAGUGUCUGGGGAUGAGGGCACCAGGCAGCCUUUUCCAGGGGCGAGGGGGCAGCAGGCAUGGUGAGGACAAAGCAGGAAAUGAAAAACAGGAAGACCCCACGAUGACCUCGGAGCUUGGUUUGGGGCAUAUGUGAUCCCUCUUCAGAUGCCCCAGAAAGAACAGUGACACCAUUUCAGGGGCCAAGUUCUAGCCAGGCCACUGAGUUUGGGAAAUGAACUUUAAAAGCGUGGCCCUGAAUAGUUACCUCCUCUGGUGUGACCUCCCGGCAGCGCCGUGCGAGGGCUGAGAAAGAGCCUGCAGGUGAAAUCCCAGCACACAGCAGGUGUGCACGCACCGAACAACGGCAGGUGCACCAGCAACUCUGCUCAAGGUGAUUCGUUCUACCUCUGCGUGAAUGAGCAAAAGGCUGGAAACGACUUCCACCUCCGUCCCAGGGUGCGGGCAGUCGAGCACGCCCACUCACACGUGGAAUACUAGGCAGCCGACAACCAGGCGAGAGCAAGCUCCGUGUGGGCUCAGCGGGGAAUCUUCAAGACGUAUUUAAGGGAAAGGAGCAACGCGCCUCACAGAGCGAAUGGCGCGUGCUGACUUGGGAACAGACACACAGAAGCGUAAAAUGCAAUGUGUUGAAACUGGAGGCCCUGGAUGCCUGGAGGGAAGAGAACCGGGUGGGGGAUGGGAGGGACUUUCCCAUCCCACAAACCGCGCCCCCUCGCCCCACAAUGCCCAGUCAAUACACUGGUGAAUGGAAGCGGUGCAAUUAUCCUGAAUAAAAAUGCCACCGCUCUUAGGAGCAGGAACGUGACUACUGGCAUCUGGAGGUGGGAGAAACUACCAGGCAGGGGGCAAAGGGGGCGGGGAUGCUGGGCACACCCCCUCGGGCCGGACCUGUCUGUUCCCCUUUCUCACUAAGUCAACCACCCGAGGAACAAUAGUGCUUCCCCUCCUCCUAGAGGAAGGGCGGGUGGAGACAGGGCCAGGGCGGCAGGUGGAAACCUCAGUGAGGUGCCAAACGCUAUUCUGAGAGGCCGGCGGAAGCAGGGGCGGAAGUCGUGCUGGCGAUGGUCUCUGGCUCCGUCACUGCACAGGCGGAGGUGCUGGGGGAGGCGGGGGGGUGCCCCGGGGAGGGGAGGAAGAUGUCAGGGGCUGCUCCCACCCCCCCCCCAAAGCUGCUAGUCCAAAGCCAAGCCAGUUUCUGUUUUGUAGGAAGCGGGGGUAGGUUAAUGCAUUUCAUCCCCACUCAGUUCCCUCUCCACUCUGCCAGCCUCAACCGCCUUCCCCUGACCACACUCUUGCCCUCCUGGCCUCCCUGCAGUUCCUCAACCUGGCCCAGCGCACCCGACCUCAGGACGUUUGCACAAGCUGUGACCGCCUCUGGAAUGCUCUACCGUCUUGCUGCCUUCCAUGACUUUUCUCCAGUGACUUUAAAAAAAAAUAAAUGUAUUUAUUUAUUUAUUUCUGGCUGUGUUGGGUCUUCGUUGCAGUGCACAGGCUUCUCAUUGUGGUGGCUUCUCUUGUGGCAGAGCACGGGCUCUAGGCGCGCAGGCUUCAGUAGUUGUGGCACGUGGGCUCAGUAGUUGUGGCACACGGGCUUAGUUGCUCUGUGGCAUGUGGGAUCUUCCCGGGCCAGGGCUCGAACCCGUGUCCCUUGCAUUGGCAGGCAGAUUCUUAACCACUGCGCCAACACGGAAGCCCUCCAGUGACUUUUGCUGGAGCCACCUCUCACCUGGACUCUCCCGGUUCUUCUCCAUUACCUCACCUGCUUGCUUCCUUGACAAAUUUGUAAGCCAGUGAUUUUUUUUUUUGCUUAUGCCCCUGUCAGGGCAGUAGCCACACCCACUUUUUUUUUUUUACUGUUGCACCUCCAGUGCCUAGCAUAGAGAAGAAGCUCGGACAUUUGUAGAAGGAACAAAAUAAGAAUCUUUGGGGCACAAUGUCCUGUCACUUGGGGGAAAAUAUUCAAUGGUUCUGAGGCUAGUCAAAGGGAGAGCCAGAAUCUAACCGAGGUGGGGGAUUUUAGAGCAAAAUAUUAGACUGCCCUUCAAGAUAAAGGAGGUUGAUUUUGUGAUGGGCUUGGCUAAGGUUAGGGACCAGCGGGAAGGAGACACAUUUUCUUUCCUGUAGAAUAACCCAGAGGGUGGGAGCCAGGGGCCAUGGACUCUGAGCCUGAAACCAACAUAGGCUGAGAAAUAAAGAGGAUUUGGAUCCUUAUAACAGUGCUUGAGCUGCUAGAUCCAGCCAUUCCUGAAGCCAGAAAUUCAGCUGCACUAGCCAGUCAUGUCCAACUAAUUCUCCAGAAGGAGGGUGAAUCAUUCAAGAUUCUUUUCUUUGCAAAUGACAGAAAACCCAAGUCAGACUGCUGUGGUGGGCGGAAUAACGCCCCUCCCUCCAAGACAUUUGUGUCCUAAUCCUGGGAACUUGUGACUAUAUUAAGUUUGAAUAUAUUGUUACAUGGCAAAAGGGACUUUGCAGAUGUGAUUAAGGUUAUAGAUCUUAAAAGAGGGAGAGUAUCCUGGGUUAUCCAGGUGGGGUCAAUCUAAUCACAUAAGUCAUUAAAAGCAGAGAACUUUCUCUAGCAGGAGGCAGAGAGGUGCAGCAGAAGAGGAAGUUGGAGAAAUUUGAACACUAGGAGGGACUUGACCCACCGUGGCUGAAGGGAGUCAUGUGGAAAACACAAGAAGGAAUGUGGGCAGCCUCUAGAAGCAAAGACCUACCCCUGCUAUCAGCUAGCAGGAAAUGAGGACCACAGUCCCACAGCCACAAGGAACUGACUUCAGCCAGCAAACUGAAUGAGCCUGGAAGAGGAUUCUUCCCCAGAGCCCCCAGUAAGGAUCACAGCUCUGCAGGUACCUUGACUUCUGCCACCCCAAGCUGAAGAAAAAUCUGGGUCAUGCUGUAUCUGGAGUUCUGACCCACAAAAGUAGGACAUAAUCAUCUAUUAUGUGUUGUUUUAAGCCACUAAGUUUGUGACGAUUUGAUAGAAAACUAAUACACUGGUUUAAUGAAAAAAUAGAAUUGACAGGCUCUCUCAGCCUGACUUCAGGAAUGGCUGGAUCCAGCAGUUUAAACAGUGUCCUCGGGAUUUAAUUUCUCUGCUGCCUCCUAAGCUGGUUCAUGCUCAGGCUCCAUGGGUCACCCUGGCAGCUCCAGGCACCCAUCCCCCAGGUUAAAUCCACAGGAAAGGGGGCCUGCCUCUCCCAGCUGUCCCAUCAUAAGUCUCACUGAACUCUCAUUGCCUGUAGCUGGACCAUGUGCCUACUCCCGAGUCAGUCACUAAGGCCAGUGGCACGCAACAUUCUUUUUGGCCAGGUCUGGGUCACAUGCCCAUCUCAACGGGGUUAGGGGUGGAUCUGGAGCCACCUGAGACUCGGGGACAGAUGUAGGGAACGGCUAGUUCCCAGGGGGACAUUCGGGCACAGUUAGAGGGCAAAGGGCCACAGAAGCCACCACACAAGGGGGCUUGAGAUCGCACAGAGAAUUUGCCUGUUUUACUUUCUGGAGAUGAGCACCAUGCAGGGUGGCCUGGGCCGAGGAGCCCCAAGCCGCCCCAGCGAAUGUGACUCAGAACCUCUGGACAACUCCCACCCCCAGGGCCCGGUUUCCAAACUCACGGGCUAAACAACAGGGAAGCCUUGCGUUCCUCAGAAGCAUGCUCAACUGGGACACAGAGUAAACAAACCGAUAUUUAUACCAUGGCCCCACGGGGUGGCCACUUGGCUCUGAGGCAAAUAUGGUCAAAACUGAAUCGUGCAGCCCUCAGAAGAGACCGAGGCUAUCCCCAGAGGAGCCCGCGGGAGGCGUCCACAUCCCACACUCCCGCGGGCAUCCUUGAUCCUUCCCAGAAGACUUGGGUGGGGAGGGAGGUGCUCUUCUCAUCCCUGCCUCACACCCAGACCAGGCGAUCCCUCCUUUCCCCAGGACUGGACUCUGCUGGCCCUUCCCAGGUCAGGUCCUGGCUGGGUCCAGAGCCCACAGGCAGGGUACCCACUCCCCCAUGCAUCCUCUCCUGAAGAUGCACUCCCCACUGCCUCAGAUCGCCUCUCCUCGACUUAGAAGGUCAUUUAAUUUAAAUUAUUUAGAAUUCAUAUGGCCAGCACGUAUUAUAUAAGCCCCCUUCUAGGUGCCCGGCAUUGGGUGCAGAGGCUGGGGACCAGCCUGGAUGUCUCUGGCCUGCUCCUGCCCCUCCCAGCUUACAGUCCAGGAUGGGAGACAGGUAUUAAAUGAGCAAAUAAAAUGCAUGGAGACGUACAAACCCUGAUAAGUUCUCCAGAGGCGGCAGGCAAGCAGAGUGCAGAGUGGGAAGAUGGCAAGGAGUCGGCCAAGGAUGGGCGCUGGUGAACAUCUGCGGGAAGGGCACAGGCAGCGGAACAGCUCGUGCAAAGGCCCUGUGAUCACCAGCUGAUUUCCUCCCCAGCUCCUGCUGCUUCCAUAACGAGCUUAGUUAACUGUUUCCUUGUCUAUUGCCCACUUCUCCCAGUAAACUGAAAGCCCUGUGAGGGCGGGGAUUUGUCUGCUUUGUGCCCUGCUGUCUCCACAGGGCCUAGAAGAGAGUCUGUGCACAGUAGGCGCGGAUGAAAGUUAGCAGAGCUCACGGAACGCAGAAACGACAAGGGGGCCGUGAGCUAUGGAGGUCAGUGGACAAGCACGUUGAACAGUAGGGAGGUCUCAUUUGAAAAUAUUUAUGACUAUGUCACUGCCUUGCUACAGAGAAAUCUGGAGAAACAAACACAAAUGUUAUCUGGGAUUGGAGGGAAUAUUCCUUCGUACUUUACAGAACUCUGUAGCCAUCCAAUGUUUUACGCUGAGAUUGUAUUUCUUUUCACUCCUUUUAUUUCUUAUAACCACAGAAGCAAUGCGUGAAUGUGCCACCACAUUCAAACAAAUGCGGGGCCUGUCAGAAGCUAGGUGCUCAGUAAGUGCAGGAUUCUCUGUCCUUCCUUCCCCACGCGGAGGAACAUGGCGGUCCCACACCCCCUGUGACCUUGGAGACUCUUAUUAAACCGCAGCUCCAGACUCAGGAUUAUGGCCUUUUUCACAAGCCCUUCCCUCAUCCAGGGCCCAAGGGAGCCAAGCAGACUCUCGCGGUGCUCACCUCUCCCUGGGUCAGGAGAGCUCGUGUAUGCCAAAGGGACAGAGCCCAGGUCCACACCGCACAGGGGUGGGCAGUCCCGGGCGUGCUGAGCACUGGCCAGCAGGGAUGGUGGGAGGCCUCAGGUCAGGCAGGAGUGAGGUUGUCAGGAGAACGCAGCCCAGAGGACCCGGUCAGCUCCAAGUAGGAAGAGGGAGGAGCCAGAGGCCGCCCAGACUCAUUCCUAUGAUGCUCGGAGGCCAGGUCCAGGCUCUUGUCCCAGAUGAUGGCGAGAGAAAGAGAGACCACUGCCCCCAAAGAAAAAUCAGAGAGAACAAGGAUGGGGGGCAGGGUGGAGGCAAGAGCUUCGACAAGAAGGUCUGGGAAGGCAUCUAGCAGGUGGGGAGCGGGGAUGACAUCUGAGCUGAGACGUGGUGACUUCUGAACUCAGGCUGAGGGACAAAAAGGAGCCGGCACAGGACACCCGGCGGGAGAGUGGCUCUUGAGAAAGGCAUCGGAGAGAUGGCAGGGCCAGUUCAGCCAUGGCAAGGAACUGAGAUUUUCUUCCAGGCCAGUGGGGAGCCACAGGGGCUUCUAGGCCAGGGAACAGCAUGCUCUGAGUUACCUUUUUAGAAGAUCGAGUGGGUCCCCAUAGGCAAGAGGCGGGUGGAGGCAAGGACAGCUGUGGACCCCACCCAGCUCUGGCUCAUCAGAGACACACAGAAGAGCCAUAUAAGCAAGCCGGCGGGCACCAAAAUGACCCCACCCUGUUAGUAUUUGGGGUAUGUGCACACAGAUGUAACAUCAACCAAAUGGCAAACUUCAUUCUCCAAUUUUUCUUGCUCAGUGGUAAAUCGUACAGAACUGUGUUAAGAAAAAAGUAAAACUCUCCUGUAGUCCUAGUACCAUUAACACCUAGUCUAUUUCCUUC